ACCAUAUGCGGCAGUCACGGUCCGCUGCGUCGCAAGAUGUGGUGGCUAAGAGGGAACCCGGUGAGCUGAUCCAGAGAUGGAACGGCGAGGCCGGGGCUGCCCCCGCAACUGUAAGCGGCGAGCCCUUCGUCCAAUCCGCGUCACUGGAGCCAAGCUCCGGGAAGGCCGGACGGAAGGCGUUUGACCCGCGAGCCAGGAGACCUGCCGCGACUUGCUUGAACCU
rnacentral:ncRNA from 2 species